rnacentral:rRNA from 1 species
AGCGAACGCUGGCGGCAGGCUUAACACAUGCAAGUCGAACGGGCUCUUCGGAGCUAGUGGCAGACGGGUGAGUAACGCGUGGGAACGUGCCUUUCGGUUCGGAAUAACUCAGGGAAACUUGAACUAAUACCGGAUACGCCCUUCGGGGGAAAGAUUUAUCGCCGAAAGAUCGGCCCGCGUCUGAUUAGCUAGUUGGUGAGGUAAUGGCUCACCAAGGCGACGAUCAGUAGCUGGUCUGAGAGGAUGAUCAGCCACAUUGGGGCUGAGACACGGCCCAAACUCCUACGGGAGGCAGCAGUGGGGAUUAUUGGACAAUGGGCGCAAGCCCGAUCCAGCCAUGCCGCGUGAGUGAUGAAGGCCUUAGGGUUGUAAAGCUCUUUUGUCCGGGAAGAUAAUGACUGUACCGGAAGAAUAAGCCCCGGCUAACUUCGUGCCAGCCGCCGCAGUAAGAC